AUUGAACGCUGGCGGCAUGCCUUACACAUGCAAGUCGAACGGUAACGCGGGGCAACCUGGCGACGAGUGGCGAACGGGUGAGUAAUGCAUCGGAACGUGCCCAGUAGUGGGGGAUAGCCCGGCGAAAGCCGGAUUAAUACCGCAUACGACCUAAGGGUGAAAGGGGGGGAUCGCAAGACCUCUCGCUAUUGGAGCGGCCGAUGUCAGCUUAGGUAGUUGGUGGGGUAAAGGCCUACCAAGCCGACAAUCUGUAGCUGGUCUGAGAGGACGACCAGCCACACUGGGACUGAGACACGGCCCAGACUCCUACGGGAGGCAGCAGUGGGGAAUUUUGGACAAUGGGCGCAAGCCUGAUCCAGCCAUGCCGCGUGCGGGAAGAAGGCCUUCGGGUUGUAAACCGCUUUUGUCAGGGAAGAAAUCUUCUGAGUUAAUACCUCGGGAGGAUGACGGUACCUGAAGAAUAAGCACCGGCUAACUACGUGCCAGCAGCCGCCGUAA
rnacentral:rRNA from 1 species